rnacentral:rRNA from 1 species
AGAGUUUGAUCCUGGCUCAGGAUGAACGCUAGCGGGAGGCUUAACACAUGCAAGUCGAGGGGUAAGGUAGCAAUAUCUGAGACCGGCGCACGGGUGAGUAACGCGUAUGCAACCUGCCCUUUACAGGGGGAUAGCCCGUCGAAAGGCGGAUUAAUACCCCAUAAUAUGGUACCAUCGCAUGAUGGAACCAUAAAAGCUUCGGCGGUAAAGGAUGGGCAUGCGUGACAUUAGCUGGUUGGUAGGGUAAUGGCCUACCAAGACUACGAUGGCUAGGGGGUCUGAGAGGAUGAUCCCCCACACUGGUACUGAGACACGGACCAGACUCCUACGGGAGGCAGCAGUGAGGAAUAUUGGUCAAUGGGCGCAAGCCUGAACCAGCCAUGCCGCGUGAAGGAUGAAUGCCCUAUGGGUUGUAAACUUCUUUUGUACGGGACGAAACCCCUGAACGUGUUCGGGGCUGACGGUACUGUACGAAUAAGCAUCGGCUAACUCCGUGCCAGCAGCCGCGGUAAUACGGAGGAUGCAAGCGUUAUCCGGAUUCAUUGGGUUUAAAGGGUGCGUAGGCGGGAAAAUAAGUCAGUGGUGAAAGCCUACAGCUUAACUGUAGAAUUGCCAUUGAUACUGUUAUUCUUGAGUACAGUUGAAGUGGGUGGAAUGUGUGGUGUAGCGGUGAAAUGCUUAGAUAUCACACAGAACGCCAAUUGCGAAGGCAGCUCACUAAGCUGUUACUGACGCUGAGGCACGAAAGCGUGGGGAUCAAACAGGAUUAGAUACCCUGGUAGUCC